rnacentral:rRNA from 1 species
GUAGCUUGACGACAAUAGCAAGGUGGCCCCACUCCUUCCCAUCCCGAACAGGACAGUGAAACACCUUAGCGCCGAUGAUAGUGGGUGGACACCUGUGAAAGUAGGUCAUUGUCAGGC